AAAAGGAAGAACUGGAAAGCAUUCAACUAUCAACACAGCAGGAGCGCAGAGAGCAAGAUCCGUCCUGCAAGAAUGAAUUGGCUGAGCUAAGACAUGUCAGACCAGCGCCCAGGAAGCAAACCAUUGAAAAUGAAACAUACGAGGAAUAUGAAGAGGCUUUUGAGAAUGACUCAAUUGAAAAGGUGGUGGUGGCACGGAAGGCGAAGAGGCGAGUGAAUUUUUUCAAACGUAUAUUCACCUCUCGAAAAUGAAGACUUCACGAUGCAUGUUGGUGUUGAACCGGCCGACCCCUGUACGGAGCCAGUUCAGGGCAACCCACUCGUUCCAGGGCAUGUCCGAGCCAGGUGUGGCUGUGGUGUUUGGUGCAACAGUGAAUUGAGGAGGUCGGGAAGUCUGUU